CAUUUUACAUUUAGAUCCAGGACCUGAUUUGAGUUCGCUUUUGGAGUCAAGGGAACUUUUCUUUUGAGCUAUUGACAGCUUUUAACAAUUUAGUAUACUCCUGUGAACAGAAUUUGGAGCAUACUUGUUUCUCUCUACCUGAUUUCUCUAGAAUUUGGAAACUAUUUGUGAGUAUUCUUAACUUAUGGCAAUAGAGUUAUUUGCAUAAGUGCAAUAAAAAUCUGUUUUCAUUUGUAACAGUACACAAUUGGAGAAACUGGUUAUUUCACAAAGGCUUUGAGUGGAAUGGUGUGCUUUCCUUUAAGGAAUCAAACUUGACUUAUGGAGCCAAUAAAAUCCCCUUUGGGAAAACUGGCCUCAUGCCUUGUCUACACAGUAUUUGUACAGGGUUUCUGAUCUGUGGUAAGUAAAGAAUGUCACUUUCUGACAGGCCCAGGAGCCCCAAGUUUAUCUUGGGACCUCAAGAAGAGAGGAAUUCACUCAACUCAUAGGUAUUUGAUGGUAAAAAUCCAUGGCUGGGCUUGGCUUUACAAAAAUCUCAUCUGAGAUUCCUUCUAUGGAACAAAGUUCCAUCAAAGCCAAUUUAAAAGCCUAUGUAAAAAAUAUAUAUAUUCUGGCUGCAGUGUAUACAAAUAAUCAGGCCAAGUAUAAUAAAGCAAAUUAGUCCUACCAUGACUUGUCUUUAGUAAAUAUGGGAAACUGAAGAGAAAAAUUAUAUUUCAAAAACUAUAGUACACCUGUUGUUAGAUUCUAGUCUUGCCUAAUGUUUUUCAAUUUUUAUUAUUUUCUACAGUUUGGACUGAAUUCUAAUUUAUUUUGGCUGCAAGUCUUCAAAAUAAUGUUUUCCAUUUUUUUCCUUUUUUUCCCCUCAUUUUUUCUAAUUUGGAGUCACUGAAAACUAAGCUGUGCUUCUUUUAAGCCCUGUGAAAUGAAGCCAGGCAACUUAAACUUCAGAAGAAAAUAACAGCAACCUAUUUACAUACAUAAGCCACUUUCAUACCUGCCUACUGAUAUACAGGCUUCAGAGUAAUAUGGCCUAUGUCAAUUUUCCAGGAUUGUUGUUUUGUUUGUUGUUGUUUUUCUCUCUUCUUCCCCCUAUUUUCUCUUCAUAGGACAUGAGAAUUCAAAACAUGCUAAAAAUGAGCUUUCCUAAUAACUUGGGACCUACCUGUCUAGGAAUAAACCAUCCUAACCAUGAGAGAUCAGACAAAACCUGAGACCACAGACCCAUUUUCUUCUAAAAUGCUUUCUCCAAAAGAUUUUUAAAAAGAAAAGGGGGGAAAUGUGAAAGAAAAUAAAUCUUGGGGCCCCAAAAUCACUAAGCUAAAGGGAAAAGUCAAGCUGGGAACUGCUUAGGGCCAGCCUACCUCCCAUUCUAUUCAAAGUCACCCCUCUGCUCACUGAGAUAAAUGUAUAUCUAAUUGCCUGCUUUGGAGAAGCUAAUCAGAAACUCAAAAGAACGCAACCAUUCAUCUCUUACCCACCUAUGACCUUAAAGUCCCCUCCCCACCUCAAGUCUUCCUGCCUUUGCUUCGAGUUGUCCUGCCUUUCCAUACCGAACCAAUGUUCUUGCAUAUGUUGCUUGAUGUCUCCUGUCUCCUUAGAAUGUGUAAAGCCAAACUGUGCUCUGACCACCUUGGGCACAUGUCAUCAGGACCUCCUGAGCCUGUGUUAUGGGCAUUUGUCCUCAAUCUUGGCAAAAUAAACUUUCUAAAUUAAUUGAUUCCUGUCUCAGAUCUUUGGGGUUCACACAGUUAUAUCUCAACAAAAUUGUAAAGAAAUCAUCCUGGAUGGAGGCUAG
rnacentral:lncRNA from 10 species